rnacentral:rRNA from 1 species
CAGCAGCCGCGGGAAUACGUAGGGUGCAAGCGUUAAUCGGAAUUACUGGGCGUAAAGCGUGCGCAGGCGGUUAUAUAAGACAGAUGUGAAAUCCCCGGGCUCAACCUGGGAACUGCAUUUGUGACUGUAUAGCUAGAGUACGGCAGAGGGGGAUGGAAUUCCGCGUGUAGCAGUGAAAUGCGUAGAUAUGCGGAGGAACACCGAUGGCGAAGGCAAUCCCCUGGGCCUGUACUGACGCUCAUGCACGAAAGCGUGGGGAGCAAACAGGAUUAGAUACCCCGGUAGUCCCUGUCUCUUUACA